CUGGUAAUGAUGGCAGAGAGGUCACACCCGUUCCCAUACCGAACACGGAAGUUAAGCUCUCUAGCGCCGAUGGUAGUUGGGACCUUGUCCCUGUGAGAGUAGGACGUUGCCAGGC
rnacentral:rRNA from 3 species